AGCUUGGGAUUUCCCAGAUUUGUGCGGACAAAUGCAAAGGUCGCGUAGGUUAUUGCGUGAAUUCUUAAUCAAUAUCAUCUCAUUUAAGAGACUGCAGACGAUAUUUUUGGUUUAUUUAUGACAAUUGAGCUUUGUUGUAUUGAUAAACGAUAACGUUUAUAAUAUUACAAACAUUUAGCAUACACAUUUUACUUUUACGAAAAGGCAUUACAAAAAGGCAUGUUUACACGCCCUGUUUACAAGGUUGACAGAUACAGUGUGGACAUACCACGUGGUUUGUGACGUCACAUUUAGUUAAAACGUGAAGUAAAAUACCGCUCGACUCAAAAAGGAUUAUCGCUACUGAUGCGGCCUCCCCUUACCAUGGGGAAGCGCUGCAGGCGAGCAAAGAAAAAGCAAGGGGGAGGACGUAAUUUCGUUUCAUGCAAACAUUAAGUGGGAAAAAAAUUCAUGGCAAACAAAAUGGCAGAUUUAGAAUGAACAGUACUGAUUUAGGAACCAACUUUUGCCUGGAACUUCACCAUGGCCCGAUUUAGAAGGCGAACGAGCCUCACGUUAUACAGAAAAUCACACAAGACCGCAGUGGCAAAGAAAUCCGUCAAUACAAGAACAUAAAAUGCUAGCAUGUCGUCGAUGAAAAAAAAACUCGCUUCUGUGAUUACAACCAAAGUAGUUAGAUUCUCGGUGUACAAAAAGAGAUGUUUAACGUCUUUAACUAGUAACAGAACACCCAAAAGCACACGAUUAGCCCUCGAAAUACAUAAACAUAUGCGCGUUUAACGCGCCUGAUAAAAUAUAUAAAGUAUUCAAUGAAGUCAAUUUCCUACAAGAUAUUUGAAAACACAUUAAAAUGAUAUGAUUCGGAAAACACGUCCGCCAUGCAUUAUUCUGAGGAGACGAAAGAUUUCUAUCGGACUUGUUUGGCACGUUCAUUCCCUGCUGUGCAUCCCUUGUUUAUUGCACUGGGUCACAGAAGGGGACAAUUUCCUGUGUAUUUGUUUAUUGACACAGGGGCAUUUAGAGCUGACACUUAGAUAGUCUCAUUGUCUCACUAAUACAUAAUCAAUUCUUGUAUAAUUUGUAUAUCUAAUGUAUUUAUUAAUUUGACCGAUGGAAUAUAAAUAAUAAACAAAUAAGAGUUAUACGUGUUUUAAUAGUUAUAUAACGGAUAUAUUUUAAUCCACUUUAAAUACAUGGUCACCAUUGUAAUAUCCAAAUUGUCAAGCAUCAUGGUUAAAUCAUAUUAAUGGGCUUUUAUAUACAUGUAUUGAAUAUAACAUUACUUUUAUUUUUAUUCUAAAGCAUUGUAAUAAUAAUAAUAAUAAUAAUAAUAAUAAUAAUAAUAAUAAUAAUAAUAAUAAUAGUUGUAUUAUAAUUUGAAAAAGUAAAAAAAAAACAAAAACACUUUAAGACAAGAUCAUUUGUUCAAUCCUGUAAUUCCUUUAACAUUACCUCAUAACAUUAUAUUAACUUUAGCGCUUAUACUUAUCAGUUACAAAUAAAAUUAUUCAGGAUAAUCUUUUUUUGCAAAUAAAGGGCCGUAACUCCUAAAUGACAAAAGCGAUUUCCAUGGUUAUCGAACUUGAUCAAGAUAUUAUGGUCACAAUCAUGUAUGUAAAGUUUGGUGAGGAUUGGACACAUACUUUUCAAGAAUUAGAUUGGAAACAUAUAUUUUUGAAGUAUUUUUGGCAAAAAAGGGCCGUAACUCCUGAAUGACUAAAGCGAUUUCCAUGACUAUCGAACUUGAUCAAGAUAUUAUGGUCACAAACAUGUGUUUAAAGUUUGGUGAGGAUUGGACAAACAGUUUUCAAGAAUUAGAUCGGAAACAAUCUUCGGGACGUACGUACGUACAGACAGACAGACGUACGUACGGACAAGGGCAACCCUAUAUGCCGCCACUUUGUGGGGGCAUAAUAAACACAAGAAAUCAAAGCAAUAUAUAAACUUUUUUGCAUUUUUGCGAGUAAUAAUCGACCCACAUCCUUCCAGAUGCCUUAAAUGUCAAACUUUUACAUGUACAUGUGUAUCUUUAUGAUUAUGAUCGAGAUUCUUUUUUAUCAAUAACCUUGUGACAACUAAUGGUCGAAGCUCUCAUAUACGACCUUGCCAUUAAUACGAAAAUAUACGAAACAUCUUGAGAAUAAACUUCCUUAGCGAUUUUAAGUAUUGUCAUUAUAGUUAAUUUCCCUACAUUGUUACAUUUCAUAGUGCUUUUUAUGUAUCUCUAAGUAAUUCUUAGAAGCUCUAAGUGACGUUAAGUAGUACCGGUUGUAAUGAAUAAGAGUUUCAAACCAUACCAUUGUUUGUACAUCCGAUUUUCAUUACUAAAUGUAAUUGUCUACAAAGCAUCUACUGACGAAGUGUGUGACUAAGUUUCUGUGAAAUAAAAAUACUUCAGUUGUACAAGAACUCUUCAUAUUAAUUUUGCAUGAUUGUUUGAUCAUAAAACUUUGUUCAUUGUUAAAUUACACAUUUGCUGAAUUAUGAAUAAUAGUUAUGAUUUAAACUAUAUGUUUAAGGUUGGAUCUGUCAAUUUUUUAUCAUUAAACCACUUUGAAAUUGAUUGUCAUACUGAUUGAGAUUAUGAAUCAUAUUUAAUUACAACUUUUUUAAAUUAGUGAUAUCAUUUCAU